UACGGAGGGCGCGAGCGUUAAUCGGAAUUACUGGGCGUAAAGCGCGCGUAGGCUGUUGUGUAAGUUGGGGGUGAAAUCCCACGGCUCAACCGUGGAACAGCCCUUGAUACUGCGCGACUUGAAUCCGGGAGAGGGUGGCGGAAUUCCAGGUGUAGGAGUGAAAUCCGUAGAUAUCUGGAGGAACAUCAGUGGCGAAGGCGGCCACCUGGACCAGUAUUGACGCUGAGGCGCGAAAGCGUGGGGAGCAAACAGG
rnacentral:rRNA from 1 species